CUUGAGUUUGAUCAUGGCUCAGAACGAACGCUGGCGGCAUGCCUAACACCUGCAAGUCGAACGAAGUCUUCGGACUUAGUGGCGCACGGGUGCGUAACGCGUGGGAAUCUGCCCUUGGGUACGGAAUAACUCAGAGAAAUUUGUGCUAAUACCGUAUAAUGUCGCAAGACCAAAGAUUUAUCGCCCAAGGAUGAGCCCGCGUAAGAUUAGCUAGUUGGUGAGGUAAAAGCUCACCAAGGCGACGAUCUUUAGCUGGUCUGAGAGGAUGAUCAGCCACACUGGGACUGAGACACGGCCCAGACUCCUACGGGAGGCAGCAGUGGGGAAUAUUGGACAAUGGGCGAAAGCCUGAUCCAACAAUGCCGCGUGAGUGAUGAAGGCCCUAGGGUUGUUUUUUUUUUUUACCCGGGAUGAUAAUGACAGUACCGGGAGAAUAAGCUCCGGCUAACUCCGUGCCAGCAGCCGCGGUAA
rnacentral:rRNA from 1 species